GACGAACGCUGGCGGCGUGCUUAACACAUGCAAGUCGAACGGUAAGGCCCUUCGGGGUACACGAGUGGCGAACGGGUGAGUAACACGUGGGUGAUCUGCCCUGCACUUCGGGAUAAGCCUGGGAAACUGGGCCUAAUACCGGAUAGGACCACUGCCUGCAUGGGUGGUGGUGGAAAGCUGUUGCGGUGUGGGAUGGGCCCGCGGCCUAUCAGCUUGUUGGGGGGGUGAUGGGCUACCAAGGCGACGACGGGGAGCCGGCCUGAGAGGGUGACCGGCCACACUGGGACUGAGAUACGGCCCAGAAUCCUACGGGAGGCAGCAGUGGGGAAUAUUGCACAAUGGGCGCAAGCCUGAUGCAGCGACGCCGCGUGAGGGAUGACGGCCUUCGGGUUGUAAACCUCUUUCAGCACCGACGAAGCGCAAGUGGCGGUAGGUGCAGAAGAAGGACCGGCCAACUACGUGCCAGCCGCCGCCGUAA
rnacentral:rRNA from 1 species